CAGCCGCCGCGGGAAAACGGAGGGUGCAAGCGUUAAUCGGAAUUACUGGGCGUAAAGCGCACGCAGGCGGUUUGUUAAGUCAGAUGUGAAAUCCCCGGGCUCAACCUGGGAACUGCAUUUGAAACUGGCAAGCUAGAGUCUCGUAGAGGGGGGUAGAAUUCCAGGUGUAGCGGUGAAAUGCGUAGAGAUCUGGAGGAAUACCGGUGGCGAAGGCGGCCCCCUGGACAAAGACUGACGCUCAGGUGCGAAAGCGUGGGGAGCAAACAGGAUUAGAUACCCCAGUAGUCCCUGUCUCUUAUAC
rnacentral:rRNA from 1 species